CCUGAUCCGGACUGAUAACGGGGAGUUUUUCAUCGAGCCCUUAGAGAAGGGCCAGCAGGAUGUGGAGGUGAAAGGUCGUGUCCAUGUGGUCUACAGGAGAUCUGCCAUAAAAAGGGAACCAGUACAAAGAAGGAAGGACCUCCACAAUGAAGUGGCAGACUUUGGGAUUGCGAACCUCCCCAGAGCUCUGGACCUCUUGGAGCACAAGCUGACAGAGUCGGAGCGCAAACGGCGGCACGCCAAGAAGGACGACUACAACAUCGAGGUGCUGCUGGCCGUGGACGACUCUGUGGUGCGCUUCCAUGGCAAGGAGCACGUGCAGAACUAUGUCCUCACACUCAUCAACAUAGUUGAUGAGAUCUACCACGAUGAGUCCUUGGGAACCAACAUCAACAUCGUCCUCGUCCGCAUGAUCAUGGUCGGGUACAGACAG